AUUGCUUCUCGGCUCCUUGGAGCUAAGAUCAAAAGCGUAGUGUCUGUUCUUAUCAGUUUAAUAUCUGAUAGGUCCUUUAUUUGAGGACUGUAUAUUAAAUUGAUUUUUGAAACAAGGGGAUAGAAUAGGAGCUUGUUCUGUCCACCCCAUGCAUUGACCUGGUAUUGCAAUGUCUCCAGGACCAGUGCCUCUCCU